rnacentral:tRNA from 1 species
AUUUAAAUAGCUUAUUUAGAGCAUGAUAGUGAAGUUAUCAAGGAAAUAUUUUUAUUUUUAAAUA